AGAGUUUCGAUCCUGGCUCAGGAUGAACGCUAGCGGCAGGCUUAACACAUGCAAGUCGAGGGGCGAUCGGGAGGAAGCUUGCUUUCCUUGCCGGCGACCGGCGCACGGGUGAGUAACACGUAUGCAACCUGCCCUCUUCAGGGGGACAACCUUCCGAAAGGGAGGCUAAUCCCGCGUAUAUCGGUUUCGGGCAUCCGAGAUCGAGGAAAGAUUCAUCGGAAGAGGAUGGGCAUGCGGCGCAUUAGCUUGACGGCGGGGUAACGGCCCACCGUGGCGACGAUGCGUAGGGGUUCUGAGAGGAAGGUCCCCCACACUGGUACUGAGACACGGACCAGGCUCCUACGGGAGGCAGCAGUGAGGAAUAUUGGUCAAUGGGAGAGAUCCUGAACCAGCCAAGCCGCGUGAGGGAAGACGGCCCUAUGGGUUGUAAACCUCUUUUGUCGGAGAACAAAACCCGGGAUGUGUCCCGGACUGCGUGUAUCCGAAGAAAAAGCAUCGGCUAACUCCGUG
rnacentral:rRNA from 1 species